rnacentral:rRNA from 1 species
UGGGGAAUAUUGGGCAAUGGGGGCAACCCUGACCCAGCGACGCCGCGUGGGGGAAGACGGCCUUCGGGUUGUAAACCUCUUUUGUACGGGAAGAAGGAAGUGACGGUACUGUACGAAUAAGUCCCGGCUAACUACGUGCCAGCAGCCGCGGUAAUACGUAGGGGACGAGCGUUGUCCGGAAUUACUGGGCGUAAAGGGCGCGCAGGCUGUGCUGCAAGUCAGCUAAUAAAUGUCUGUGCUUAACCCGGGCAUGCGGUUGAGACUGCGGUGCUGGAGUGCUGUAGAGGCAAGUGGAAUUCCCAGUGUAGCGGUGAAAUGCGUAGAUAUUGGGAAGAACACCGGUGGCGAAGGCGACUUGCUGGGCAGCAACUGACACUGAGACGCGAAAGCCAGGGGAGCAAACGG